rnacentral:lncRNA from 1 species
GUUGAGAACAGAUGCCAAUAGCUCGACUAACACCACAACAAGUAUUCAAACGAAAUCUAAACAAUCCAAGAUUUUACGUGGUUCGGCAAUUUGCCUACGUCCACGGCGGAGUCACAAUGUUAUUGAUUCACGAACACAAAUCCAGCGAUUACACUUUGAAGAUGAAAUCAACAAGAAAACAAACCUCUCCAGUUCUUUCCCCUCUUGUAUCAACUCUCUUCCUAAACAAGUGAAUCUACUGAUUGAAUAAGCAACAACCUAUACAAAACUAAUGCUAUCAGUAUGUAUAAGAGAAUA